rnacentral:rRNA from 1 species
UACGUAGGUGGCAAGCGUUGUCCGGAAUUAUUGGGCGUAAAGCGCGCGCAGGCGGUCUUUUAAGUCUGAUGUGAAAGCUCACGGCUCAACCGUGGAGGGUCAUUGGAAACUGGGAGACUUGAGUGCAGAAGAGAAGAGUGGAAUUCCACGUGUAGCGGUGAAAUGCGUAGAGAUGUGGAGGAACACCAGUGGCGAAGGCGACUCUUUGGUCUGUAACUGACGCUGAGGCGCGAAAGCGUGGGGAGCAAACAGG